GGACUACCCGGGUAUCUAAUCCCAUUUGCUCCCCUAGCUUUCGUUCCUCAGCGUCAGUUACAGCCCAGCAAGCCGCUUGCGCCACCGGUGUUCUUCCCAAUAUCUACGCAUUUCACCGCUACACUGGGAAUUCCGCUUGCCUCUACUGCACUCCAGUCCACCAGUAUCCAAUGCGAUACACGGGUUGGGCCCGCGCCUUUUACAUCAGACUUAAUGAACCACCUACGAACUCUUUACGCCCAAUAAAUCCGGACAACGCUCGCAUCCUACGUCUUACCGCGGCUGCUGGCAC
rnacentral:rRNA from 1 species